rnacentral:rRNA from 1 species
AGAGUUUGAUCCUGGCUCAGAACGAACGCUGGCGGCGUGCCUAACACAUGCAAGUCGAACGGUCUCUUCGGAGAUAGUGGCGGACGGGUGAGUAACACAUAGGUAACCUGCCUUUAAGAGGGGGACAACCAUCCGAAAGGGUGGCUAAUACCGCGUAAUGUCAUCUUUUGAAAUAGAGGUGAAGAGAGGAGUAAUCCGCUUUUAGAGGGGCCUAUGGUCGAUUAGUUAGUUGGUAUGGUAAUGGCCUACCAAGACAUCGAUCGAUAGCUGGUCUGAGAGGACGAUCAGCCACACUGGGACUGAGACACGGCCCAGACUUCUACGGAAGGCAGCAGUGGGGAAUUUUCCGCAAUGGGCGCAAGCCUGACGGAGCGACGCCGCGUGGGUGAAGAAGUCUUUAGGGAUGUAAAGCCCUGUCAGUAGGGACGAAACAAAUGACGGUACCUACAGAGGAAGCAUCGCUAACUACGUGCCAGCAGCCGCGGUAAUACGUAGGAUGCGAGCGUUGUUCGGAAUCACUGGGCGUAAAGAGUACGUAGGCGGUAGUAUAAGUCUGACAUUAAAGACCGAAGCUCAACUUCGGGGUUGUGUUGGAAACUGUAUUACUUGAGGACAAUAGAGGAAGCCGGAAUUCUCAGUGUAGCGGUGAAAUGCGUAGAUAUUGGGAAGAACACCAGUCGCGAAAGCGGGCUUCUGGGUUGUUACUGACGCUGAGGUACGAAGGCGUGGGUAGCGAACGGGAUUAGAUACCCCGGUAGUCCACGCGGUAAACGAUGGAUACUAGAUGUAGCCGGUCUCGACCCCGGCUGUGUCGUAGCUAACGCGAUAAGUAUCCCGCCUGGGGAGUACGACCGCAAGGUUGAAACUCAAAGGAAUUGACGGGGGCCCGCACAAGCGGUGGAGGAUGUGGUUUAAUUCGACGCAACGCGAAGGACCUUACCAAGGCUUGACAUCCAACGGAUCCGCUAGAAAUAGUGGAGUGCCAGAAAUGGAACGUUGAGACAGGUGGUGCAUGGCUGUCGUCAGCUCGUGUCGUGAGGUGUUGGGUUAAGUCCCGCAACGAGCGCAACCCUCGAUGCUAGUUGCCAUCAUUAAGUUGGGGACUCUAGCGUGACUGCCGGUGAUAAGCCGGAGGAAGGUGAGGACGACGUCAAGUCAUCAUGCCCCUUACGCCUUGGGCCACACACGUCCUACAAUGGCAUAGACAAAGGGCUGCGAGAUCGCAAGGUUAAGCGAACCCCAUAAACUAUGUCUCAGUUCGGAUUGCAGGCUGCAACUCGCCUGCAUGAAGUCGGAAUCGCUAGUAACCGUAGAUCAGCAUGCUACGGUGAAUACGUUCCCGGGCCUUGUACACACCGCCCGUCACACCACGAAAGUUUGUCGUACCCGAAACCGGUGAGCUAACCCAUUAGGGGAGCAGCUGUCUAAGGUAAGGCUAAUGAUUGGGGUGAAG